CCUACGGGGGGCAGCAGUAGGGAAUCUUCCGCAAUGGACGAAAGUCUGAUGGAGCAACGCCGCGUGAGUGAAGAAGGGUUUCGGCUCGUAAAGCUCUGUUGGCAGUGAAGAAAGAUAGAGGUAGUAACUGGCCUUUAUUUGACGGUAACUACUUAGAAAGUCACGGCUAACUACGUGCCAGCAGCCGCGGUAAUACGGAGGUGGCGAGCGUUGGCCGGAUUUAUUGGGCGUAAAGCGCGUGCAGGCGGUACAUUAAGUCUGAUGUGAAAGCCUUGGGCUCAACGGGAGAAUUGCAUAAGAAACUGGUGAACUGGAGUGCGGAAGAGGAGAGUGGAAUUCCAUGUGUAGCGGUGGAAUGCGUAGAUAUAUGGAAGAACACCAGUGGCGAAGGCGGCUAUCUGGUCUGCAACUGACGCUGAGGCGCGAAAGCGUGGGUAGCGAACAGGAUUAGAUACCCUUGUAGUC
rnacentral:rRNA from 1 species